GAAAAUCUUCAAAUUAUUGGGGGAAACUUGUGAAUUAAGGGGGCAUAUGUAUCUAUUAUGUGUUAAAAAGGAUUGCAUAUUGAUUUCUAUUGAAAGAUGGAAGCUACGAAUAAAUCUUUAGGGCAUGCUAUGACUGUGACAUGAAAUUCCAGGGACUUUGUAUGAUUUUGUAACACGUGAUUGGACUAUCAAAUAGUGUCAGAAUUGCCUCAAAUUAUAAUCAUUAGAAAGGUCUAUGAGUCUAUUUUAAUCUUCAGUUUUGGGUCCAACUGAAAGUUUGAAUAAUUUGAAAGUUAUACUUCACUUUAUGCACCUAUGUCACUGUUGACAGACUGUGUAAAUUUUCAGAAAUAUCACUCUAGUUAUACUAAGGUUUCGUUUGACCAAAUGCAGUCCAAAUAACUCAUAAC
rnacentral:lncRNA from 1 species